rnacentral:rRNA from 1 species
UACGUAGGGCGCAAGCGUUGUCCGGAAUUAUUGGGCGUAAAGAGCUCGUAGGCGGCUUGUCACGUCGGGUGUGAAAGCCCGGGGCUUAACCCCGGGUCUGCAUUCGAUACGGGCAGGCUAGAGUGUGGUAGGGGAGAUCGGAAUUCCUGGUGUAGCGGUGAAAUGCGCAGAUAUCAGGAGGAACACCGGUGGCGAAGGCGGAUCUCUGGGCCAUUACUGACGCUGAAACACGAAAGCGUGGGUAGCGAAUGGG